rnacentral:lncRNA from 10 species
CCCCUCUGCUGCAGGUCUGCUGGAGUUUGCUGGAGGUCCACUCCAGACCCUGUUUGUCUGUGUAUCACCAGCGGAGACUGCAGAACAGCAAAGGUUGCUGCCUGCUCCUUCCUCUGAAAGCUUCAUCCCAGAGGUACAACUAAGACCUCUGGAUAUUAUAAAACAAACAGAGCUAACCCACCUCAGAAGAAUGUCUAACAGAAUUUCUCUAAUCAGAAAGGCAACGAUAAAAGAAGACACCUUGGACCAUCAGGAAGAAAGAGCAUGGAGCUAAACUGUGAAGAGUUGGUGUGUAUAAGAGGCCGGAAACACAAAUCCUUCAAAACACAUCUCAGGAUUAUAGUUUAGCUAAAAUUACAACACAUUAUGCAGUAACAUUCCUGCAUAUCUUGACUUGGGGAUGUAAUUCAAGGAAUUGAAGCCUUUGCCCUGGCAGAGCAUCAAGGUCAUGGGAUGCCAAGCACUGGUGAGGACUGGAGAUCACAAGAACCAUCUUCAUUGCUGGUGGAGUGGGAAUCAAUUCAUUUGGAGACACAAGUUGGCAAUUAAAAAAAGUGUGAAGAUGCAUAUUUUAGCCUGCUCCAGCCGCCAUAGCAGAAUACCAUAGGCUGGGUGUCUCAAACAACAGAAAAUAUUUUUUUCAUAGUUAAAUAGUUAAUUUCUAGAGGUUGGAAGUUGAAGAUCAAGGUUCCAGUGGGGUUUGGUUUCUGGUGAGGGCCUUCUUUCUGGCUUGGAAGUGGCCAUUUUGUCCUUAUAUGGCCUUUUUUCUGAGUGUACUCAGAGAGAGAGAACAUGCAUGGUAUCUGAUGUCUUCUCUUAUAAAGACACUAGUCUUUGGUAGGGUUCCACUGUUAUGACCAAAUCAUUUUAUCUUAAUUACCUCCUUACAGGUUCUAUCUCCAAAUACAGUCAUGUUGGGGGUUAAGGAUUCAAUAUAUGACAUGAAGGGGAACACAUAAUUUGGUCCACAGCAAUCCACAUACACUAAGACCCAGAAGUUCUAGAAACAUUUCCUAGAGAAAUUCUUGUGCACGUACACAAAGAGAUGUGUAGAAAGAAUAUUCACUGUUGCAUUAUUUAUAAUAGCAACAUGAAAAAAAUUUAGAUAACCACCAUUAGGAAAUGGAGAAAGAAAUUGUAAAAUCAUCAAACAAUAAAGUAAUACACAGUAGUUAAAAGAGCAAACAAGAACCACAUAUUGUGGCUCUGUCAGCAUGAAUAAAUCUUAGAAAUAAAAUUUGAGUAUGAAAAUCAAACUACAGAAAGUAUACACAGAACAUGAUACCAUUAAAGUGAGAAAGUAACUAAGCAGUAGGUCUUAGUUUCUUAUGGAUAUACUCAUAUGAAUGAAACAUAUGUUAAAAAUAUGACAAUAUGGAUGGAAAGGAUGAACCUCAAUUCAGGCUAGUGGCUGAUUUAGAGAAGGAGGAAGGGCAGUAACAGGAUAGGUGACUUUAAUUUUGUCUGUAAUAUUUUAUUCUCAAGUUAAAAGGAUCUGAGGUAAAUAUGGCAAAGUAAUAACAUCUACUAAAGGGAUAGUGGGUACAUGGUAAUUUGAUAUAUAAUUUCUGUUCCUUGUGUUUGCAGUUUUCAUAAUGAACACCAAAUAAGCAAACAAAUGUUUAAAAGGCAAAAUGUCCCUGAGAGUUAGAGAGAUCUAGGUCCCAACUGAGUUCCCAUUAUUCACUAGAUAUAGGUCCUUGGGCAAGUUACCUAACCUCCUUAAGUUGCUCCUAUUUAUGUAUUUUCAUCUAUACCUACCUCUUGGGAAUAUUGUGAAAUUCAACAGCGCUCAUGUAAAGCAUGUGGCACCCAGCAUACAAAACAAUGCUAGUUCCCUUUCUUACAUCAAGUACUGUUUAGUAACAUUGAUUUAAACUCCAUGUCUUUGUCUAAACUAAAAGAAAGCUCUGAGUGGUUGUAAUGAGACAGAAUAAUUUUCCUGUUUCCCUUAUUGUGACCUUUCUUUCUUUUUUUUUUAACCCCUACCUUGUCUCAGGUAUUUAAAUGUGUGUGUGCAUGCACAAACACAUAAGCAGUACUUCACAAGUGCUUUAGAGCAGAGGCUAAACUUUUGGAGGUUGGGAAAAUGGUCUCUUUAAUGUCAUGUAAGUGUGAAGCAUCUUUUCACUUACAGGCUUAAAAGAACUAUAUUGUAGCAAAACUAGAAAUCAGUUAAAGUUUUUGUGUUGAGACAGUACUUGCUGAUUGAAUUCUCAUGGUGUAUGUGUUCUUUUUCUUUUUCUUUCUUUCUUUUUUUGAGCUGGAGUCUUGCUAUGUUGCCCAGGCUGAUCUCAAACUCCUGAACUCAGUCAAUGCUGCUUCAGCUUCCUGAGUAGCUUAUUACAGCAGCAGAAGAACCCUUUAUUUGGUCAAAGUCCAACUCAGAAAGUCAAUAUCUAGAGUGGAUAUAUGUGGGGAACUGCUCUGAUUGAAGCAGAGUGAGGGCCUGGACCCUAAAAUUCAGCUGUUUCCCCUCUUCUCCCAGAACUCAAGAAGCACAGUUUGAAAACCACAGAAUGAGUGGAAUGCAAGCCUCUGCUUCUUCAGGUGAGGAUUCAGACCAGGAUACAGAACCAAUCAGAGGCCUGUCAGUCCAGAAGUCCUUCCAGAACACCAGCAGUCCUGCAUUCAUCCAUGUGCUGACCACAGUGCCCACUAGAGCUCCCCGUGCAGUCAGAGAUUCACUGAAGCCUCUGUCAGACGUCAUCAUGAAAUGUACCCUGAAAAGACUCUUGCACAGGACACCCUGCUGGCAACACGUGGGGUGAAGGGUGCAGAGGUUGCCUUCUCCAGGGAAUUAUAUUCUAAGAUGUACAUUUCCAUCUUGGCAAGCUCAGAGACAAACACCCAGGUACUGUGCUCUGAAGCAGUUGAAUUAGUAAACUAAGAGGAAUAACAUCUUGGGGAGCAUUAGUGCUGGUGCUCUUUGUGCAGUGGGACAUGGAAAGUGUGAGCGGCAGGACAGAUCCUCAGCAGGGUUGAGAAGGAGCUACCUGGACUUCUGCAUGUAUGGGAGUUUUAGUAACUUAAUAGCUCAGCUUUGCCUUGCGAAAAUUCUAUGUAUCUGCACCCAGAUCUUUCAGGUCUAGAAACAGAUAGAUAUAAAACAUACAAAGUAUAUAUGUACACAUUAUAUAUAUAUAUGUAUUAUAUAUAAAGUAUAUACACA